rnacentral:rRNA from 1 species
GCACAAGCGGUGGAGCAUGUGGUUUAAUUCGACGCAACGCGAAGAACCUUACCUGGGUUUGACAUCUCGGGAAUCUUGUGGAAACACGAGAGUGCCCUUCGGGGAGCCCGAAGACAGGUGCUGCAUGGCUGUCGUCAGCUCGUGUCGUGAGAUGUUGGUUAAGUCCCGCAACGAGCGCAACCCCUAUCUCUAGUUGCCAGCGAUUCGGUCGGGGACUCUAGAGAUACUGCCCCGGUUAACGGGGAGGAAGGUGGGGAUGACGUCAAGUCCUCAUGGCCCUUAUGCCCAGGGCUACACACGUGCUACAAUGGGCGGUACAAAGGGUAGCGAUGCCGCGAGGCGAAGCCAAUCCCAAAAAGCCGUCCUCAGUUCGGAUUGGAGUCUGCAACUCGACUCCAUGAAGCCGGAAUCGCUAGUAAUCGCGGAUCAGCAUGCCCGCGGUCCGAAUACGUUCCGGGCCUU